UGCCUUCUCCCAUCCCAACGCUUCGCCGAAGGCCGCCGCCUGCUACCGCCACAACAUCAAUCGUCGCUGCCGGACGCCGCCGGCCGCGCCCACGCCAACGCUCGCCACCGCCCGCGGCCUGCGCUCCCGGCCAGCGCCGGCUCCUGCUGCCCCAACGCCGACUGGCCGCGACCAGACGCCGCUGGCCGCGCCCACGCCGAUGGCCGCCGCCUGCUACCGACCGAACGCCGAACGCCACCACUCCGACCGGCCGGCGCCGGCUCCUGCCCCCACUCCGACCCCCAUCUUCGGUGCCCCAACGUCAACCGCCGCUGCCGGACGCUGCCGGCCACGCCCACGCCAACACUCGCCGUCGCCCGCGCUCGGAUCAAAGGUGCCGCUGCAACAGUCUCCCUCCCCUGCUCCAGGUGAGAAGACAUGUAAAAGCGUCAAGAUUGUUUUGAUAUUCUGAUGCAUCCUAAUCAGGUACAUGCUCAUCACUCUCAUGCAUUCUCGUGGGUUUCUUGAUAAAAUGAUUAAAACGCUGAGUUCUAAUUUUUCUAGUUGGAUAGCAGAGAGAGGACUUUAUGCAUUAUUAGAUAUGUUCAUGGCCUCCAGGAGCCAGUGCCAGACAUAGAGGCUUACUGAAAUAUCCCUUGAUUUGAAUGUUAUCUGAUUUCAUAUAUUCCAUAGGCAUAACAAACAUGUAGAAUAUAUUAUCAGAGCACAGUGAUUAAUUCUUUACUUUCAGUUUGUACUUCGAUUGUUGUUCACAGGUCAAAUAAGGGCAAUAAGGGUAUUUUUCAUCCAGGCACCUAUUAUGUUUAACCAUUUAUUGAACUUUGGCCAUAGAAUUUACAAAUUGAUAGCAUGUGGAUCCUAUUCAGGUCGUUCAUGCCUUUUAGUGUUCAAUUGCUGGAACAAAAAAUAUGUGUGGAAGCAAUUUAUUAGCCACAUUGGGACUUACUACUCAAAUAUGAAUUUUGAAAAGUGAUUUUGUCAAUCAGAUACCACUUGAUUUAGAACCUAGAGUUGUAUUCUCCACUGGUGCUAAUGAUCCGAUGAACUGAUGUGAUUGUUGCUGCUGAAGGUGCGCACUGUUUCAGGGGGAAAGGUAAACGUUUUGGCAGACCUCACAUAUAUGUAUGUUUUUUUAUGAACGUGCACAUAUAUGUAUGUUGUUUUGCUUGCCAUGAAUUUGGUGCAACCUCUCAGUUGGGCUGUUGUGAUGGUAUUUGUUGCUAAAACACAUGUUGGAUUCUGUACAUUGACAGUGUUUACACAUGUAAAUUUAUAACAUGUUGAGGUGAAUAUCAUGUUAUAUUUGCACAUGCAUUGCUUUAGUGCGUGCUAGCUAUGGAUUUUCAACUAGAUUCUGUUGUCAAUAAAUCUUCCAUGCCUUCAACUCUAAUCCAAUAGUCAACUAAGCUGCUCUGUUUGUUCAGGUGUGAAUCACCCAUUUGGUCUUUUUUUGGUGGGGGGUGGUAUUUCUGUUUGUCAGAAACCACUCUACAUGAAGACUAUUCCAGUGUAAGAAAAGCCGAAACUGGUUUCUAUUAAGGAUGCAUGUGCAUGUUUUACUUUCAUCAUGUGGGAUCGCUAGAUAUUCUCUAAAACUACAGAUCCAGCUCAAGUACCAUAUGACUGGCAAGUCCUAAAAACCAAGCGCCUGCAGCGUUCAAGUCUCGUUAGGGAUUGUUUGUAACGAGAUUGUUUGGUUGAAGGGAGCUAAGUAGCAGAAGAAGGUUGUGAAGAAUGUCAUGUCAAAUUCUGCCAACAGGUUGAAGGAAAUAUUUUCAAAAGUUGAGGAGUAGUUUGCAUCAAGAAAAGGUGCCGACGACAAAGGUCUAUAGAGAUUAAAUUUAACAUCCCACCGUGUAAUUAACCUUGCAGAAAUAUUGAAAACCUCCAGUGCUCUUUUUACUGACCCA